CCUUCACAGGCUCCAGACUAAAGAGCCACGCUUUAACUCACUUUCUAACAAGCUUUGCUUAAGAUGUUCUCAGGUCAAAUCAAGAAACAGAUGCAGCCAUGAGUCAAGGUGUUCAUUCUGGAGAAUGGAACACAGACAAGACUUUAGACUCCAUUUACCCUCGUGGCCUGACCUUGAGGUACAGGGUCCAACCCGAGGUACAGAGCCCAUCCUGCACACCUAUACCCAGAAGCCUUGCUCGUUUGCCUGCUACCUUUGAAUUCUUUCAUUGCUAAGCCUAAGAGUUGCAGCGUACAAUAGUUUGGAACUUGGCACACAGUUUCCCAAAAAUGCUUUGAAGAUGAGGAGGAGGAGGGGGAAAAGAAGAAUGAUA
rnacentral:lncRNA from 10 species